CUCUCUCUCUCUCUCUCUCUCUAAUAAAGGAAAUUGUUACCAAAUGUAUUUUAUUCUGCUGGAAAUGUCUCAUGACCUAUCUUUGCUCAUUCCACAGACCUCAGGUAGGUCAAAAGCUUGUUCUUAUCAUUUGCAGGUCUAAGAUGAAUGAAGAUUGUGACUCUAUGCUUAAACACAACCUCAAAUUUAUUUACCUAACUGCCUGUGCAUUUGCUCCUUACACCAAAAUUUUAGAUCUGAGGCAAAAAGCGACACACACACAAAAGUUGAGAUAGUUUUUCAAUGCAUUUCAGAAAGACAGUGUUUCAGUUGCCACAUCAAACAACUACCCAUCAAAAUAAGAUUUUAUUUACUACAUAGU
rnacentral:lncRNA from 1 species